rnacentral:rRNA from 1 species
UGUGACCUCAAAUCAGGUAGGACUACCCGCUGAACUUAAGCAUAUCAAUAAAGCGGAGGAAA